ACCAGCUCGGCCUCUUGCUGGGUCGUAAAAAGCUGCUGUCUCUGUAAAUUAUCGUAUCCGUAAAAUUUCGCGGGCUCCCCGUGACAGGUAACAUGUGGUAACUUCCACAAAAUGAACUUGUCUAUGCAUAAAAACCAGAGACAGAAACAUAUGUCAUGGAAAGGAUAUCCCGUUUAACAUAAAACACGUUAAGACAUCUUUCAGCGGAAAGGAAGAAAUAGAAUGUCAUAAAAUAUACAAUGUUAUUCCGGAGAAUUUAUUUUCCAUCUCAGUUGUUUUAAAGGAUAUGUUCGCAAAUUAUUGUUGGUGUUAUGGUUUCUAAUCUGUAAUUGCUUCUAACGAGGUAUCCUGUAUUCAGCUGAGUAUGUGUGUUCUAAAAACAUACUGAAUUGCUUAUUCUAUAAGUGUAGGCCUCGAUCCUGCAAAUCCCAGUGAAAUGGAGCCAUCCUUACUUAUGACAAUGCAUACUUCUUGCGUGAAAAAGGCUUCCCACCUGAUUUGCAGGGAAAAUCCCAAAAUCUAGAAGAGCUACACCGUUUAGGAUUUACACCCACGCAACUGGGAGCGGAGUCAGCCAGUAAAAGAUUGUCCUAUUGAUUCCCUUUGUGAGAUGGAAAUGUAUGGCUAUCCAGACAGACCUUAUUUUCCUUGCUAUGCUAAUUGAGUGUAGGAAUAUAUCUAGAGAUUGCUUGUGAAAUAUAGCAAUGUAUUGUAUUUCAUAACAGUGUAUCUGUCUGUUGCGUCCCUAACUGUUCUUUAAAAUAAAUGUGUUUUAUUCCCUGUGAAA